CCCGUCAAGCCAUGGGAGCCGGGGGUGCCUGAAGUUCGUGACAGCAAGGAGCGACCUAGGGCAAAACUGGUGACUGGGGCUAAGUCGUAACAAGGUAGCAGUACCGGAAGGUGUGGCUGGAAUACCUCCUUU
rnacentral:rRNA from 1 species